rnacentral:rRNA from 1 species
CAGAGCGAACGCUGGCGGCAGGCCUAACACAUGCAAGUCGAACGAACUCUUCGGAGUUAGUGGCGGACGGGUGAGUAACACGUGGGAACGUGCCUUUUGGUUCGGAAUAACUCAGGGAAACUUGUGCUAAUACCGAAUGUGCCCUUCGGGGGAAAGAUUUAUCGCCAUUAGAGCGGCCCGCGUCUGAUUAGCUAGUUGGUGAGGUAACGGCUCACCAAGGCGACGAUCAGUAGCUGGUCUGAGAGGAUGAUCAGCCACACUGGGACUGAGACACGGCCCAGACUCCUACGGGAGGCAGCAGUGGGGAAUAUUGGGCAAUGGGCGCAAGCCUGACCCAGCAACGCCGCGUGAAGGAAGAAGGCUUUCGGGUUGUAAACUUCUUUUAUCAGGGACGAAGAACGUGACGGUACCUGAUGAAUAAGCCACGGCUAACUACGUGCCAGCCGCUGC